GUGAACGCUGGCGGUAGGCCUAACACAUGCAAGUCGAACGGCAGCACAGUAAGAGCUUGCUCUUACGGGUGGCGAGUGGCGGACGGGUGAGGAAUACAUCGGAAUCUACUUUUUCGUGGGGGAUAACGUAGGGAAACUGACGCGAAUACCGCAUACGACCUACGGGUGAAAGCAGGGGAUCUUCGGACCCUGCGCGAUUGAAUGAGCCGAUGUCGGAUUAGCUAGUUGGCGGGGUAAAGGCCCACCAAGGCGACGAUCCGUAGCUGGUCUGAGAGGAUGAUCAGCCACACUGGAACUGAGACACGGUCCAGACUCCUACGGGAGGCAGCAGUGGGGAAUAUUGGACAAUGGGCGCAAGCCUGAUCCAGCCAUACCGCGUGGGUGAAGAAGGCCUUCGGGUUGUAAAGCCCUUUUGUUGGGAAAGAAAAGCAGCAGGUUAAUACCCCGCUGUUCUGACGGUACCCAAAGAAUAAGCACCGGCUAACUUCGUG
rnacentral:rRNA from 1 species